GAUGAAGAACGUAGUGAAAUGCGAUAAUUAAUGUGAAUUGCAGAAUUCAGUGAAUCAUCGAGUCUUUGAACGCACAUUGCGCCCCCUGGUAUUCCGGGGGGCAUGCCUGUCCGAGCGUCAUUGCUGCCCUCAAGCACGGCUUGUGUGUUGGGCUUCCGUCCCUGGCAACGGGGACGGGCCCAAAAGGCAGUGGCGGCACCAUGUCUGGUCCUCGAGCGUAUGGGGCUUUGUCACCCGCUCCCGUAGGUCCAGCUGGCAGCUAGCCUCGCAACCAAUCUUUUUAACCAGGUUGACCUCGGAUCAGGUAGGGAUACCCGCUGAACUUAAGCAUACAAUAGCGGAGGA
rnacentral:misc_RNA from 1 species